CUACGGGGUGCUCCAGUGAGGAAUAUUGGUCAAUGGGCGGAAGCCUGAACCAGCCAUCCCGCGUGCAGGAAGACGGCGCUAUGCGUUGUAAACUGCUUUUCCAGGGAAAGAAAACCCCCGACGUGUCGGGGUUUGCCGGUACCCUGGGAAUAAGCAUCGGCUAACUCCGUGCCAGCAGCCGCGGUAAUACGGAGGAUGCAAGCGUUAUCCGGAUUUAUUGGGUUUAAAGGGUGCGUAGGCGGAUUAAUAAGUCAGUGGUGAAAACCUGCAGCUUAACUGUAGACUUGCCAUUGAUACUGUUAUUCUUGAGUACGGUCAAGGUAGGCGGAAUGUGUAAUGUAGCGGUGAAAUGCUUAGAUAUUACACAGAACACCGAUUGCGAAGGCAGCUUACUGGGCCAUUACUGACGCUGAGGCACGAAAGCGUGGGGAGCGAACAGGAUUAGAUACCCUGGUAGUC
rnacentral:rRNA from 1 species